rnacentral:rRNA from 1 species
UACAGAGGGUGCGAGCGUUAAUCGGAAUUACUGGGCGUAAAGGGUGCGUAGGUGGAAAGAUAAGUUGGUUGUAAAAUUCCCGGGCUCAACCUGGGCAUGUCAAUCAAAACUAUCUAUCUAGAGUGCAGUAGAGGGAAGUGGAAUUUCCGGUGUAGCGGUGAAAUGCGUAGAUAUCGGAAGGAACACCAGUGGCGAAGGCGACUUUCUGGACUGUAACUGACACUGAGGCACGAAAGCGUGGGGAGCGAACAGG